rnacentral:lncRNA from 1 species
UGCUAUAUAGUUUCUAGGUUAAUGGAUGCUGCAGAACAAGCAGAUGAAGGUGGCAGAUUUCCUGAUGAUUGCUAUUCUUCUACAUCAUGACUUGCUUUUAAGAGUCAUCAUGUUGGCUUAACUCAUACUUGGCUCGUCUGCUCAUUUGCAUCCUCCAAAUCUGAUACCAUAUUAAGGAUUCGAAAGGACGAUCUUCAAUAUCGACUCAAGUACGAUGAUCUUGGAAUGUCAUCAAAUAGCUACCUACUAAUCAAUCUGGAUGAUUAGAAUGUACUAAAAACUCAAUCUACACUAGAAGAUCAAUUUGCCUAACCUAUCAACAUUCUACCUAAAUAUAGAAUUAAAAGGAACAAGACUAGAGAACCAGAGAAGUCAACGCGUUGAAUCACUUGAACUUGCCGUGGCGACCUUAGCCAUGGUGGUGCGUCCCAUGGCCAAGAUGAAGGUGCCCAUGCGACAGCAACUGGUGAGCCCCCGCGGCCGCCGCAGCCGCUGCUCCCCCUAGCAACGCCCCCACGCCGGAACCGUGCCCUGGAUACACGAAAAGCACGCAUUAUGAUGGAACUAGUUUCCAGUGCUGGUGAGUUACUACCAUGAUGCGGCGGCGCUGACGGCCCGGGGGCCGGUGGAUAUCCUGAUGGCGGCUGCGGGUAUCCGUAAGGUGGCUAUCUUUGAAAGCAGUCCUUUGAUACUAGAAUGCGAUGCUUCGUGCUUCAUCUUUUCCACCUCCCAUGUUAUCUUCACUGCAAUGGGUGAAAGCAAAAGCCUCAUUAUUAGUGCCUAAUAAGUCUAAAGAAACCCUCACAUUGCUAAAGAUGAACGAAGACGGACGUACCAAUGCGAUCCGAUGGCGCUAUCUUCCUUCCUCUCAGAUGAGCG